rnacentral:tRNA from 1 species
GGGCCUGUAGCUCAGCUGGUUAGAGCACACGCCUGAUAAGCGUGAGGUCGGAAGUUCAAGUCUUCUCGGGCCCACCA